UGAAGUCAGACAGCGGUGUGGCAGUACCAGGUCACGUGGUGCAAGGUGAAAUUACUGUAAGUGGACUUUUACGCCUGCUGGCUAUUUACACAGCUGGAGGUGUGUGAAACAGCUGGAUAAGGACGAUGGGGAAACGCAGCAAAGAGAGCAUGAGACACGAACGCAAGUCUAGUUCAUUAAUUGGUGUGGAAGGAAAUUGUUAUACAGACUGCAGGUGAGAGCCUGAGUGGUUUGGUACCUGUUUCCAGAUGGCAGGAGAGAAAACACUUCUUGGUCCUGGGGAAAUGUUGUUUCGUUUUGUGCUGUAUAUGUUUGGAAUGACAAUAAAAUCCUACUUAAUUGACUUGAUUAUCUAGUAGAACAAAAAUACGUUUAAACUCACCCCUUGAUCUGUUUUUAUUAUAAUGAACUGAUGAGUUAAUUCAUUCAUUCAUCCAAUGUAAUGUUUAGUCAUUUAUUAACUAGAGGCACUUAACAAUUACAGGAAAUAUUUAACAAAAAGUGUUUUUACACUAAUGUUAACUAAUCAACUUGAGCUUCCAACUAACCCUAUUAUCACCCUAAUUAUCAACAUUAUUAACCUAACCUAGCUAAGUAAAUAACAAUUAAUCAAAUUUGUUGGCAGCCUACUAUAUUUCUCAUUUGAAACAUGAUUCUGCAAGGACAGCACAUCUGAUCUAUUACAGUUCAUCAGAUU